GCAUCCUUCGGGGUGAGUGGCAGACGGGUGAGUAACGCGUGGGAACGUGCCCUUCAGUUCGGAAUAACCCAGGGAAACUUGGGCUAAUACCGGAUACGUGCGAGAGCAGAAAGAUUUAUCGCUGAAGGAUCGGCCCGCGUCUGAUUAGCUAGUUGGUAGGGUAAUGGCCUACCAAGGCGACGAUCAGUAGCUGGUCUGAGAGGAUGAUCAGCCACAUUGGGACUGAGACACGGCCCAAACUCCUACGGGAGGCAGCAGUGGGGAAUAUUGGACAAUGGGCGCAAGCCUGAUCCAGCCAUGCCGCGUGAGUGAUGAAGGCCUUAGGGUUGUAAAGCUCUUUCGUCCGGGACGAUAAUGACGGUACCGGAAGAAGAAGCCCCGGCUAACUUCGUGCCAGCAGCCGCGGUAAUACGAAGGGGGCUAGCGUUGUUCGGAAUCACUGGGCGUAAAGGGCGCGUAGGCGGCUUUGUAAGUCGGGGGUGAAAGCCUGUGGCUCAACCACAGAAUUGCCUUCGAUACUGCAUGGCUUGAGACCGGAAGAGGUUAGUGGAACUGCGAGUGUAGAGGUGAAAUUCGUAGAUAUUCGCAAGAACACCAGUGGCGAAGGCGGCUGACUGGUCCGGUUCUGACGCUGAGGCGCGAAAGCGUGGGGGAGCAAACAGGAUUAGAUACCCUGGUAGUCCACGCCGUAAACGAUGAAUGCCAGCCGUUGGCGAGCUUGCUCGUCAGUGGCGCAGCUAACGCUUUAAGCAUUCCGCCUGGGGAGUAC
rnacentral:rRNA from 1 species